CUGCAAGACCGCAAGGUUUAGCCAAUCCCAUAAAUCUGUUCUCAGUUCGGAUCGCAGUCUGCAACUCGACUGCGUGAAGCUGGAAUCGCUAGUAAUCGCGGAUCAGCAUGCCGCGGUGAAUACGUUCCCGGGCCUUGUACACACCGCCCGUCACACCACGAGAGUUUGCAACACCCGAAGUCGGUGAGGUAACCUUUAUGGAGCCAGCCGCCGAAGGUGGGGCAGAUGAUUGGGGUGAAGUCGUAACAAGGUAGCCGUAUCGGAAGGUGCGGUUG
rnacentral:rRNA from 1 species